CGAGGAAUGCCUAGUAAGCGCGAGUCAUCAGCUCGCGUUGACUACGUCCCUGCCCUUUGUACACACCGCCCGUCGCUCCUACCGAUUGAAUGGUCCGGUGAAGUGUUCGGAUCCGCGCGACGGGGGCGGUUCGCCGCCCCCGACGUCGCGAGAAGUCCAUUGAACCUUAUCAUUUAGAGGAAGGAGAAGUCGUAACAAGGUUUCCGUAGGUGAACCUGCGGAAGGAUCAUUG
rnacentral:ncRNA from 1 species